AUAUCAAAUAAGUAACUUCACAAAGUAAAUAAAAAGUUUUUCUACAUGGAAAUAUGGGAAAAAAAUGGAAAACAUUUUUUAUUUGCGAAAGCGAUUAGUCGACGAGUUUUCACAACGACUAAAAUGAUGUGAGAGCUUCACUUGAACGAUGCUUCUAGCAAGUGAACUCGUUGGUACGCAAUUAUUCGUCUCAGUCUUGCUAUGUUUGUUAUACACGGAGACGAAGACACACAAUCACGCGUCACAUACGUCCGUCCUCUUUAUCACGUCAAAUACGCAGAAAUGUUUGGUCGUGUGCACGUGAACGAGAGUAUGAAUGUUCGAAUACCCUCAGCUGGUCGUAUAAAUUUGUCUGAAGGAUUGGUGAAAGAAUCAGUUGUGGUCGAGCUACCGUACAUACUGAGCUACUCGUAAGAAAUUGUGUCACGCUUAUCGCAGCCUUCGCUUGUGUAACAAAUCAAUUGAAUACGGAGCAGUCACCAAUGAAGAUUUCUGACAUUUCUUCAGCUUUUAUCUCACACCACCGUUGGAACUGUUUUGAAAUAUUUUGAUAAGUUUUCACU